rnacentral:rRNA from 1 species
UACGUAGGGUGCGAGCGUUGUCCGGAAUUAUUGGGCGUAAAGAGCUUGUAGGCGGUCUGUCGCGUCUGCUGUGAAAAUCCGGGGCUCAACCCCGGACUUGCAGUGGGUACGGGCAGACUAGAGUGUGGUAGGGGAGACUGGAAUUCCUGGUGUAGCGGUGAAAUGCGCAGAUAUCAGGAGGAACACCGAUGGCGAAGGCAGGUCUCUGGGCCAUAACUGACGCUGAGAAGCGAAGCAUGGGGAGCGAACAGG